GACGAACGCUGGCGGCGUGCUUAACACAUGCAAGUCGUACGGUAAGGCCCUUUCGGGGGUCCACGAGCGGCGAACGGGGGAGUAACACGUGAGUAACCUUCCCACAACUUUGGGAUAACGCUAGCAAACUGGAGCUAAUACUGGAUAUGUGCCCCUGCUUCAUGGUGGGGGUUGGAAAGCUCCGGCGGUUGUGGAUGGACUCGCGGCCUAUCAGCUUGUUGGUGGGGUAGUGGCCUACCAAGGCGGCGACGGGUAGCCGGCCUGUGGGGCUGACCGGCCACCUUGGGACUGAGGUGCGGCCCAGGCUCCUACGGGAGGCAGCAGGGCGGAAUCUUGCACGAUGGGCGCCAGCCUGAUGCAGCAACGCCGCGUGCGGGAUGACGGCCUUCGGGUUGUAAACCGCUUUCAGCAGGGACGAAGCUUUUUGUGACGGUACCUGCAGAAGAAGCACCGGCUAACUACGUG
rnacentral:rRNA from 1 species